CACUAUCGUUAACUGAAUACAUAGGUUAACGAGGCGAACCGGGGGAACUGAAACAUCUAAGUACCCCGAGGAAAAGAAAUCAACCGAGAUUCCCCCAGUAGCGGCGAGCGAACGGGGAGCAGCCCAGAGUCUGAAUCAGCUUGUGUGUUAGUGGAACGGUCUGGAAAGUCCGACGGUACAGGGUGAUAGUCCCGUACACCAAAAUGCACAGGCUGUGAACUCGAAGAGUAGGGCGGGACACGUGGUAUCCUGUCUGAAUAUGGGGGGACCAUCCUCCAAGGCUAAAUACUCCUGACUGACCGAUAGUGAACCAGUACCGUGAGGGAAAGGCGAAAAGAACCCCGGCGAGGGGAGUGAAAAAGAACCUGAAACCGUGUACGUACAAGCAGUGGGAGCACCUUCGGGUGUGACUGCGUACCUUUUGUAUAAUGGGUCAGCGACUUAUAUUCUGUAGCAAGGUUAACCGUAUAGGGGAGCCGCAGGGAAACCGAGUCUUAACUGGGCGUUAAGUUGCAGGGUAUAGACCCGAAACCCGGUGAUCUAGCCAUGGGCAGGUUGAAGGUUGGGUAACACUAACUGGAGGACCGAACCGACUAAUGUUGAAAAAUUAGCGGAUGACUUGUGGCUGGGGGUGAAAGGCCAAUCAAACCGGGAGAUAGCUGGUUCUCCCCGAAAGCUAUUUAGGUAGCGCCUCGUGAACUCAUCUUCGGGGGUAGAGCACUGUUUCGGCUAGGGGGUCAUCCCGACUUACCAACCCGAUGCAAACUACGAAUACCGAAGAAUGUUAUCACGGGAGACACACGGCGGGUGCUAACGUCCGUCGUGAAGAGGGAAACAACCCAGACCGCCAGCUAAGGUCCCAAAGUCAUGGUUAAGUGGGAAACGAUGUGGGAAGGCACAGACAGCCAGGAUGUUGGCUUAGAAGCAGCCAUCAUUUAAAGAAAGCGUAAUAGCUCACUGGUCGAGUCGGCCUGCGCGGAAGAUGUAACGGGGCUAAACCAUGCACCGAAGCUGCGGCAGCGACACUAUGUGUUGUUGGGUAGGGGAGCGUUCUGUAAGCCUGCGAAGGUGUGCUGUGAGGCAUGCUGGAGGUAUCAGAAGUGCGAAUGCUGACAUAAGUAACGAUAAAGCGGGUGAAAAGCCCGCUCGCCGGAAGACCAAGGGUUCCUGUCCAACGUUAAUCGGGGCAGGGUGAGUCGACCCCUAAGGCGAGGCCGAAAGGCGUAGUCGAUGGGAAACAGGUUAAUAUUCCUGUACUUGGUGUUACUGCGAAGGGGGGACGGAGAAGGCUAUGUUAGCCGGGCGACGGUUGUCCCGGUUUAAGCAUGUAGGCUGGUUAUCCAGGCAAAUCCGGAUAAUCAAGGCUGAGGUGUGAUGACGAGGCACUACGGUGCUGAAGUAACAAAUGCCCUGCUUCCAGGAAAAGCCUCUAAGCAUCAGGUAACAUCAAAUCGUACCCCAAACCGACACAGGUGGUCAGGUAGAGAAUACCAAGGCGCUUGAGAGAACUCGGGUGAAGGAACUAGGCAAAAUGGUGCCGUAACUUCGGGAGAAGGCACGCUGGUGUGUAGGUGAAGUCCCUGCGGAUGGAGCUGAGACCAGUCGAAGAUACCAGCUGGCUGCAACUGUUUAUUAAAAACACAGCACUGUGCAAACACGAAAGUGGACGUAUACGGUGUGACGCCUGCCCGGUGCCGGAAGGUUAAUUGAUGGGGUUAUCCGUAAGGAGAAGCUCUUGAUCGAAGCCCCGGUAAACGGCGGCCGUAACUAUAACGGUCCUAAGGUAGCGAAAUUCCUUGUCGGGUAAGUUCCGACCUGCACGAAUGGCGUAAUGAUGGCCAGGCUGUCUCCACCCGAGACUCAGUGAAAUUGAACUCGCUGUGAAGAUGCAGUGUACCCGCGGCAAGACGGAAAGACCCCGUGAACCUUUACUAUAGCUUGACACUGAACAUUGAGCCUUGAUGUGUAGGAUAGGUGGGAGGCUUUGAAGCGUGGACGCCAGUCUGCGUGGAGCCAACCUUGAAAUACCACCCUUUAAUGUUUGAUGUUCUAACGUUGGCCCCUUACCGGGGUUGCGGACAGUGUCUGGUGGGUAGUUUGACUGGGGCGGUCUCCUCCCAAAGCGUAACGGAGGAGCACGAAGGUUAGCUAAUCCUGGUCGGACAUCAGGAGGUUAGUGCAAUGGCAUAAGCUAGCUUGACUGCGAGCGUGACGGCGCGAGCAGGUGCGAAAGCAGGUCAUAGUGAUCCGGUGGUUCUGAAUGGAAGGGCCAUCGCUCAACGGAUAAAAGGUACUCCGGGGAUAACAGGCUGAUACCGCCCAAGAGUUCAUAUCGACGGCGGUGUUUGGCACCUCGAUGUCGGCUCAUCACAUCCUGGGGCUGAAGUAGGUCCCAAGGGUAUGGCUGUUCGCCAUUUAAAGUGGUACGCGAGCUGGGUUUAGAACGUCGUGAGACAGUUCGGUCCCUAUCUGCCGUGGGCGCUGGAGAAUUGAGGGGG
rnacentral:rRNA from 1 species